GCGUAGCACGGCUUGCGCUCACAAGGUUUCACUACCAGCAGCAGUGCGGUUCGACGCGUAGUUCGUUCUCGUGAGGUGCGAUCAGAAUAUCACGGUUGUACGCGAAUUCUAUGGCUAUUCGAUCGGCAGCAGUAUAGUCGUUUCGUGAUUCAGUUCAUUAAACAAUUUGAAGACACAGAAAAGUGGAGAAAAAAUAGAUUAAAAUUAGUGACGAAUCCAGCAUCGAAAAUGAUGAAAUCUUUCGUAGAAGUUAGUUGCACCUGGUAACGAUGCAGCAUGCGAGCUUUUUGUACUGUCAGCGCACCCCUAGAGGUUUGCGCACCACCGUCCCGCCCUCUACCUCCGGGUACAAGAUUUCUAGCUUUAAAAUUAUUAGGAACACCACAGCCACGCACACUCUACUUCCUAGUCGAAGCCAAAAGUCGCGUCCGCGAAGUAUACGCACAAACAUGCCAUCACUUCUCCAAACAGGGUAUGCUGGACACCGAACUGUUCGGAUUAGCCGUGCUGAUAGGUAAGCCAAUCUUCAAU